CCUACGGGAGGCAGCAGUGAGGAAUAUUUGGCAAUGGGCGCAAGCCUGACCCAGCAACGCCGCGUGAAGGAAGAAGGCUUUCGGGUUGUAAACUUCUUUUGUCAGGGACGAAGCACGUGACGGUACCUGACGAAUAAGCCACGGCUAACUACGUGCCAGCAGCCGCAGUAAUACGUAGGUGGCAAGCGUUAUCCGGAUUUACUGGGUGUAAAGGGCGUGUAGGCGGGACUGCAAGUCAGCUGUGAAAACCACGGGCUCAACCUGUGGCCUGCAUUUGAAACUGUAGUUCUUGAGUACUGGAGAGGCAGACGGAAUUGCUAGUGUAGCGGUGAAAUGCGUAGAUAUUAGGAGGAACACCAGUGGCGAAGGCGGUCUGCUGGACAGCAACUGACGCUGAGGCGCGAAAGCGUGGGGAGCAAACAGGAUUAGAUACCCCAGUAGUC
rnacentral:rRNA from 1 species